rfam:Comamonas testosteroni CNB-2, complete genome.
CAGCGUUCUCAGGGCGGGGUGCAAUUCCCCACCGGCGGUAUCUGCGGCAAUGCCUUGCAUUGACUGCAGCAGCCCGCGAGCGCCUGCAGUCUCGCCAGAGCCUGCAGGGUCAGCAGAUCUGGUGAGAUGCCAGAGCCGACGGUCAUAGUCCGGAUGAAAGAGAUCGCGC